GAGGGUAUAGCUCAAGUGGUAGAGCACAUGCUUAGCAUGCACAAGGUCCUGGGUUCAAUCCCCAGUACCUUCU
rnacentral:tRNA from 1 species